rnacentral:ncRNA from 1 species
GGAGUCGGGUUGUUUGGGAAUGCAGCCCAAAGCGGGUGGUAAACUCCAUCUAAGGCUAAAUACGGUCACGAGACCGAUAGCGAACAAGUACCGUGAGGGAAAGUUGAAAAGCACUUUGGAGAGAGAGUUAAAAAGUACGUGAAACCGUCGAGAGGCAAACGGGAGGGCCUGUCGGGUCGUUCGGUCGCUUUCAGGCGGGCCGGAGACCGGGUCGCGGGAUCGGGGACCUUCGCGGGCCUCGACUCGCGUCGCCGGCCGACGGCUCGGCGCACUAGCGUCGGACGAGGGCCGCGACCGGCUGGGCGGCGGGCAAACGGCUCCGGGCAAGGUAACCCCGCUUCGGCGGGGUGCUACAGGCCCGGUGCGCGCAAGGGUCGCCGCCCCGGUCGAGGAGAGAUGCGCGCCGCACCUGCCCCGUUCGCGGGGCCGGGGAAGCCGUUCGAGCAGCGUCGUGUCGCGGUCCGGGACUGUCCUCAGUCCCGGGUCGUCUCGGCGCGGUUCCGAGCGGUCGCUCCCUCGCGAGGUGCCGCGGGUCAGCGGCUGACGCCAGCCACCUUCCCGACCCGUCUUGAAACACGGACCAAGGAGUCUAACAUGUGCGCGAGCCGCGGGGCAGUACGAAACCCGUAAGGCGAAAUGAAGGUGAACGCCGGCGCGGUCCGGCGGAGGUUGGAUCCCGUUCCCGUCGGGGCGGGCGCACUACCGGCCGAUCUUCUCCGCCCCUGUCGGCGAGGUCGAGCGAGAGCGUGCAAGUCGGGACCCGAAAGAUGGUGAACUAUGCCUGAGGAGGUUGAAGCCAGAGGAAACUCUGGUGGAGGACCGUAGCGAUUCUGACGUGCAAAUCGAUCGUCAAAUUUGGGUAUAGGGGCGAAAGACUAAUCGAACCGUCUAGUAGCUGGUUCCCUUCGAAGUUUCCCUCAGGAUAGCUGGCGCUCUGUCGCAGUUUUAUCUGGUAAAGCGAAUGAUUAGAGGUCUUGGGGGCGAAACGCCCUCAACCUAUUCUCAAACUUUAAAUUGGUAAGAAGCCCGACUCGCUCGUUUGGAGCCGGGCAUGGAAUGCGAGUGCCAAGUGGGCCACUCUUGGUAAGCAGGACUGGCGAUGCGGGAUGAACCGAACGCCGGGUUAAGGCGCCCGACGCGACGCUCAUCAGAGCCCACAAAAGGUGUUGGUUGAUAUAGACAGCAGGACGGUGGCCAUGGAAGUCGGAAACCGCUAAGGAGUGUGUAACAACUCACCUGCCGAAUCAAUCAGCCCGAAAAGGGA